AUCUGUGGUGUAAGAGCGCGACUGUGUCCUCUGUUCCUUCAUUACUAUUUUAUUGAUUUCAGAGAGGAAUAUAAAUCCAGGGCAGCCUGCCUGUCUUAGCAAAACACAGGGCUGCCAAAGUUAAUGUGCUAAAAGGAGGGAAAUUCUGGAAUCAAAGCUGAGAGAAAAUGAGUCUAUAAUGUUUAUCUAAAAGGCAAAAAAAAGGCUCAUCUCCAUUUUAAAUUAUGCCAUGUUAUCAUUUUUGCUUUUACCAAAGAACCUAAAGAAAGUGGGGAAGGCACAGUUUAAAACUUCCUUUAAACAGCAGAAAGCAGCAGCUUGAAACCAAAGUGAAACCAUAGUUUCCCUGAAAACCAGUUUGUUGCCUCUGAAAUCACUUUUCACAAGAGGAGUUUAUUUUCACUGCUAAAAUCAAAUACUAGUAGAGAUCCAGUGCAGAGGUCCCCCAGAUAAGUAUUAUAACUUGGUGUUAGAACUGGUAUUAUAUUAUGAAUUAGUGUUAUAAACUGGAUGAUUUCAGAAGGCUCAUUGCCUGGCUUGAGGGCUCCAGCUGAAGAGGGGGUUUCUGCCAGUUUAUCACCCUUGCACCCCUGGGACCGCUGAGCUCCCACGCUGAACUGAGAACCGAAUUCCUCUGGCGCUCACUGAGCAUCAUCCUUGAAGGCACUUAGCCUGGUCCUAGAUAGACACAAAAAAAAACCCUUAACAUCUAGAUUACUAGAAGACAGUGAAGAGGGUCUGACAUUUUGACACCGAAUGCUGAUAGUUUUGUGAACAUGUGUGUGAGAUUUUCUGUGGAAAGGAAUGCAGAAUUAGAGGAGACCUUGUGGCUACUAAAUUGGAGGACACAGCUAAAAGAAGCCUCCAGGAUUACACCCAAAAGACAAAAGGAAAAAAAAUAGUUGUAAUACAGUGAGUUUUAAAAGAUCAUUUAAAUGUGCAAGGAUCAGCCUGAAGCCACAUCAAGGAAUCCAACAAAAGCUUGCUAAGACUGAUUGCCAUGGGGUACUGAAAACAGGCAAAAGUAUUUCCACAGAGGAAUUUGCCAUAAGCAUGGUCAGCUUAAAGUAAUUUCUACAGAAGAUCUAUUGAUAUUAAUAGUAUGUAUCCUUUCAAUUGAUCUGGGUAAUUUUUAUUGAAUUAAAAUAAA